CCCCGGUAAACGGCGGCCGUAACUAUAACGGUCCUAAGGUAGCGAAAUUCCUUGUCGGGUAAGUUCCGACCUGCACGAAUGGCGUAAUGAUGGCCAGGCUGUCUCCACCCGAGACUCAGUGAAAUUGAACUCGCUGUGAAGAUGCAGUGUACCCGCGGCAAGACGGAAAGACCCCGUGAACCUUUACUAUAGCUUGACACUGAACAUUGAGCCUUGAUGUGUAGGAUAGGUGGGAGGCUUUGAAGUGUGGACGCCAGUCUGCAUGGAGCCGACCUUGAAAUACCACCCUUUAAUGUUUGAUGUUCUAACGUGGACCCGUAAUCCGGGUUGCGGACAGUGUCUGGUGGGUAGUUUGACUGGGGCGGUCUCCUCCUAAAGAGUAACGGAGGAGCACGAAGGUUGGCUAAUCCUGGUCGGACAUCAGGAGGUUAGUGCAAUGGCAUAAGCCAGCUUGACUGCGAGCGUGACGGCGCGAGCAGGUGCGAAAGCAGGUCAUAGUGAUCCGGUGGUUCUGAAUGGAAGGGCCAUCGCUCAACGGAUAAAAGGUACUCCGGGGAUAACAGGCUGAUACCGCCCAAGAGUUCAUAUCGACGGCGGUGUUUGGCACCUCGAUGUCGGCUCAUCACAUCCUGGGGCUGAAGUAGGUCCCAAGGGUAUGGCUGUUCGCCAUUUAAAGUGGUACGCGAGCUGGGUUUAGAACGUCGUGAGACAGUUCGGUCCCUAUCUGCCGUGGGCGCUGGAGAACUGAGGGGGGCUGCUCCUAGUACGAGAGGACCGGAGUGGACGCAUCACUGGUGUUCGGGUUGUCAUGCCAAUGGCACUGCCCGGUAGCUAAAUGCGGAAGAGAUAAGUGCUGAAAGCAUCUAAGCACGAAACUUGCCCCGAGAUGAGUUCUCCCUGAGACUUAGAGUCUCCUGAAGGAACGUUGAAGACGACGACGUUGAUAGGCCGGGUGUGUAAGCGCAGCGAUGCGUUGAGCUAACCGGUACUAAUGAACCGUGAGGCUUAACCUUACAACGCCGA
rnacentral:rRNA from 2 species